rnacentral:rRNA from 1 species
UACGUAGGGCGCAAGCGUUGUCCGGAAUUACUGGGCGUAAAGCGUGCGCAGGCGGUUCUCCAAGUCCGUUGUGAAAGCCCCGGGCUCAACCUGGGAAUGGCAGUGGAAACUAGGGGACUGGAAUCUGGCAGAGGGGGGUGGAAUGCCGCGUGUAGCAGUGAAAUGCGUAGAGAUGCGGCGGAACACCGAUGGCGAAGGCAGCCCCCUGGGCUGAGAUUGACGCUCAGGCACGAAAGCGUGGGGAGCAAACAGG